rnacentral:lncRNA from 10 species
UUAUGUCCACCGUCUCCCCUGUAAGAGUCAAAUGCAAGUCCUGUGCUGCCUCUCAGUGACCUGCACCAAUCCCAGUGGUGGGACAGGAGAACUUGUUCACUAAGACUAUUAGAAGCUCCCCCUCAGCCCACCCCUGCAACUAUGUGGCUGAGAGUGAGGGAGGGAUGAGUCCCUAGAGAAAAUUCUCUAUACUGUUUGACCAGGAGAAGGAUGAAUGACUGAAGUGAACGUGAUGGCUGGAUCAUGAGC